AUUGAACGCUGGCGGCAGGCUUAACACAUGCAAGUCGAGCGGGGUGAUGGUGCUUGCACUAUCACUUAGCGGCGGACGGGUGAGUAAUGCUUAGGAAUCUGCCUAUUAGUGGGGGACAACAUCUCGAAAGGGAUGCUAAUACCGCACACGUCCUACGGGAGAAAGCAGGGGAUCACUUGUGACCUUGCGCUAAUAGAUGAGCCUAAGCCGGAUUAGCUAGCUGGUGGGGUAAAGGCCGACCAAGGCGACGAUCUGUAGCGGGUCUGGGAGGAUGAUCCGACACACUGGGACUGAGACACGGCCCAGACUCCUACGGGAGGCAGCAGUGGGGAAUAUUGGACAAUGGGGGGAACCCUGAUCCAGCCAUGCCGCGUGUGUGAAGAAGGCCUUAUGGUUGUAAAGCACUUUAAGCGAGGAGGAGGCUCUUUUGGUUAAUACCCAAGAUGAGUGGACGUUACUCGCAGAAUAAGCACCGGCUAACUCUGUGCCAGCCGCCGCAGUAA
rnacentral:rRNA from 1 species